AUCGGAGUAGACUAACAGGAUCCCCUAGUAACUGCGAGUGAAGCGGGAAAAGCUCAAAUUUAAAAUCUGGCGGUCUCUGGCCGUCCGAGUUGUAAUCUAGAGAAGUGAUGCCCGCGCUGGACCGUGUACAAGUCUCCUGGAAUGGAGCGUCAUAGAGGGUGAGAAUCCCGUCUCUGACACGGACUACCAGGGCUUUGUGGUAUGCUCUCAAAGAGUCGAGUUGUUUGGGAAUGCAGCUCUAAAUGGGUGGUAAAUUCCAUCUAAAGCUAAAUAUUGGCGAGAGACCGAUAGCGAACAAGUACCGUGAGGGAAAGAUGAAAAGAACUUUGGAAAGAGAGUUAAACAGUACGUGAAAUUGCUGAAAGGGAAACGCUUGAAGUCAGUCGCGUUGGCCAGGAAUCAGCCUCGCUCUUGCGUGGUGUACUUUCUGGUUGACGGGUCAGCAUCAAUUUUGACUGCUGGAAAAAGGCUUAGGGAAUGUGGCAGCUUCGGCUGUGUUAUAGCCCUUUGUCACAUACAGCGGUUGGGAUUGAGGAACUCAGCACGCCGCAAGGCCGGGUUUCGACCACGUUCGUGCUUAGGAUGCUGGCAUAAUGGCUUUAAGCGACCCGUCUUGAAACACGGACCAAGGAGUCUAACAUGCCUGCGAGUGUUUGGGUGGUAAACCCGAGCGCGUAAUGAAAGUGAAAGUUGAGAUCCCUGUCGUGGGGAGCAUCGACGCCCGGACCAGACCUUUUGUGACGGAUCCGCGGUAGAGCAUGUAUGUUGGGACCCGAAAGAUGGUGAACUAUGCCUGAAUAGGGUGAAGCCAGAGGAAACUCUGGUGGAGGCUCGUAGCGAUUCUGACGUGCAAAUCGAUCGUCAAAUUUGGGUAUAGGGGCGAAAGACUAAUCGAACCAUCUAGUAGCUGGUUCCUGCGGU
rnacentral:rRNA from 1 species